ACUGCCCCUAGAGGCGUUGCAGGUGUGGCUGCUGUGCCACAUUUGUGUCAUUAGGCGGCGGAGAGAAGAGAGGCUUGACUGCCCAGCGUUCUGGCCCGUGGACAUCUGGUGAUUGAUAGUCUGACACU